rnacentral:rRNA from 2 species
UACGGAGGGUGCGAGCGUUGUCCGGAAUCACUGGGCGUAAAGGGCGCGUAGGCGGCGCGGGCAGUCAACGGUGAAAGCUCGGAGCUCAACUCCGAGUCGGCCGUCGAUACUCCCGUGCUUGAGCACUGUAGAGGCAGGUGGAAUUCCGGGUGUAGCGGUGGAAUGCGUAGAGAUCCGGAAGAACACCGGUGGCGAAGGCGGCCUGCUGGGCAGUAGCUGACGCUGAGGCGCGACAGCGUGGGGAGCAAACAGG